rnacentral:lncRNA from 1 species
UAAAAUUCCAAGUGGUACUCAGUCUGGAAGAGUAAGCAAAGCAGCUCCAACAGCCACUGAAGACAAAGAAAAACAAGACAACUAAUUUGGUCAGAGAGGUUAUAUGUGACCUUUUGGAGUCCUCUGGGAAGCCCUGGCUCAGAGCACGUGGAAAUAUAGGUAAGUGAUAUUAUUUGGCUUUGCUAUACUGCCUAUUGAUUUCAAUGAAGUUUAAGAUGUGGCAAUAGCACAGACAAGGUAAAGAAAAGUUCUUAGCAAAUUCUCUUGACAAUACACUUUUUGUUGUUAAAAUUCACAAUGCCAAAUGAUGUGGAAGAACUUAGCUCAGAUGCACUGUCAGAUAA